UACGUAGGGUGCAAGCGUUGUCCGGAAUUAUUGGGCGUAAAGAGCUCGUAGGCGGUCUGUCGCGUCUGCUGUGAAAACCUAGGGCUUAACUCUGGGCGUGCAGUGGGUACGGGCAGGCUAGAGUGCGGUAGGGGAGACUGGAAUUCCUGGUGUAGCGGUGGAAUGCGCAGAUAUCAGGAGGAACACCGGUGGCGAAGGCGGCUAUCUGGACAGAGUCUGACGCUGAGGCGCGAAAGCUAGGGGAGCAAACAGG
rnacentral:rRNA from 1 species